UGGGGAAUAUUGCACAAUGGGCGAAAGCCUGAUGCAGCGACGCCGCGUGAGGGAUGACGGCCUUCGGGUUGUAAACCUCUUUCGACAGGGACGAAGCGCAAGUGACGGUACCUGUAGAAGAAGCACCGGCCAACUACGUGCCAGCAGCCGCGGUAAUACGUAGGGUGCGAGCGUUGUCCGGAAUUACUGGGCGUAAAGAGCUUGUAGGCGGUUUGUCGCGUCGUCUGUGAAAACUCACAGCUCAACUGUGAGCUUGCAGGCGAUACGGGCAGACUUGAGUACUGCAGGGGAGACUGGAAUUCCUGGUGUAGCAGUGAAAUGCGCAGAUAUCAGGAGGAACACCGGUGGCGAAGGCGGGUCUCUGGGCAGUAACUGACGCUGAGAAGCGAAAGCGUGGGUAGCGAACAGGAUUAGAUACCCUGGUAGUCCACGCCGUAACGGUGGGUACUAGGUGUGGGUUUCCUUCCACGGGAUCCGUGCCGUAGCUAACGCAUUAAGUACCCCGCCUGGGGAGUACGGCCGCAAGGCU
rnacentral:rRNA from 1 species